GCUUUAUAAAUGUGAUCAGUAUGUGCAUAUUUCAAUCAUUGUUUUUUUUUUUUAUGACAAGUAUUUCUUCUAUCUUUCACUAUGAAGGGUAUUUCACGUCUCUUUCGCUUUCUCUCUAUAUGUGUGAGAAACUAUUACUUUUAUUUUAUUGUGGAAUUUAGUUUAAUUUUUAUUUCAUUUUAGGUUUUGUAAAUUUAUUUUCCUUAAAAAAUUUUAUUAAAAAAUAUUACAUGCAUAACAUUUUAAUAACACAUACAACGCAGGUGCAUGCUACUAAUCUUUAACAUGGAGAUCAUGAAUAUGAUUUUUUUAAAAAAACUAGAAAUAAUAAUUAUAUUGAAAAAAAAUUUGGAUAAUUAGUUACAAUUGUUUUUAGAUAGACUACCUAUUUGCAUCCAUCUAGGGAUGCUUUAUACCUUUGGACUGCAUAUUGUAGAAAUGCAGUCCAGCCCGUAUGAAACAAUUGUUCAUUAUCUUUCCCUUUGAUGAUUGGCUUGGGUUUUGUCUUUAGUUUGGAGAAAUUUGAUGUGGCAAAGUGAAAUAUGGCUAUCUUUAGUUGGGAAUAUAGAUUUUUGUUAACAACAUAGGGUUAGCCAACCCCAAAUAAUUUGGAUAAAGUUCAGAUGAUGAUGAUCACAAAGUCAUCAUGGGUGAUCCAUGAACAAGUGCGUGAGUAUACUAUCUGCAAAUUCAAUUCAGGGUUAUUGAUUCGCAAAUAUCUUUCAAAUUUAUUUAUUCUCUUUGGUUCCUGAUACUCCAGGACAUUUGCUUCCAAUCUUUAUGAAUUUGGACACUUGAUGAAGAAGAUGCAUGGUAUGGGUAGUUGGUAUUGAACCUUAGGCUGCCUUGAAUAUGGAUCAAGGGGAGGUAGAACUGAAAGUUAAAUUAGUCUUAGUUGUUUUUAAUCUUUUAAUUUUGAGUAUGAAACAUUGAGUGAACUUGGUGAAUUGUGGAAGGCUUGAUCAUCUUGAGUUGGAAAAACUUGCCUGAGUAAAUUUGACCGGUCUAAAUUAAUUGGCUUCAGUAGGAGGGUUUAAUUUAAUGGGUCAGUAGGAGAAUUUACUUUAUGAAAGACUGGGAUGUGUCCUUGUACUUGUGUGGAAGAAGUUUAUAUAAGGUUGCAAACAUAUAGAAGUGAGGUUAUAAUGAUCUGCACUUUUCAUUUCAUUUGAAAAGUUAAAGGUUUAUUUUUUUUAUUUUUUUUUGAAAAAUGUACCUUUUGUGUGUGUUAUCACCUAAAAUGAAUAAGUUUAGGUUGUGCUUUUACUUGUCAAAUCUUGCUCGUCUUAAAAAUGCGUAGUACUUUUGAAAUUUAAUGUUUUCAACAAUAGAAUUAAUGUGAAAUUUUGAUUGUACAGGGCACCAAGAAAAAUAAAAAUAAGAAAUAUUUUUCAAAACUUAAAAUGACCAAACCACCACCCUACAUGUGGCGUCAUUUUAAUAGUUUUUUAAAAAUAAAUUUUAUAUUUUUACAUUUCAAGUGGAUACACUUGAAAUUUUAACUUAAGAGAAAGUAUAUAAUGAGACCAUUUAUAUUUGGUACAAAAUGGUCACAAUUAAUCUUUGACCAUUGGAUGUGAAAUUUGGUGGUUGCAUUUAUUUUAUUGACCAUGCUCUAAGUUCAAACAAAAUUUUCUUGAACUUUGUGACGCACCCAAGCUAUUAGAUUUCACAUUGGAUGAUUGUAAGUAAUUGUGACCUCAUUGUACUAAAGGUACAUGGUCUCAUUGUAUACAAUCCCAAAAUUUAAAUAGUAGUAUGUACUUUUAACCAUCUGAUAAAAU
rnacentral:lncRNA from 1 species